rnacentral:rRNA from 1 species
GACGAGCCGUGCGAACGUUAUUCGGAAUCAUUGGGCUUAAAGGGCGCGUAGGCGGCGGCGUAAGUUGGAAGUGAAAUCCCAUCGGCUCAACCGUGGAAUUGCUCCCAGUACUGCGUCGCUCGAGGGGGAUAGGGGUCUGCGGAACUACCGGUGGAGCGGUGAAAUGUGUUGAUAUCGGUGGGAACGCCAGUGGCGAAAGCGGCAGACUUGACCCUUCCUGACGCUGAGGCGCGAAAGCGUGGGGAGCAAACAGG